GAGCUUUUGUGAUAAAUGUAUUAGGGACCAUAUUAUCUCUAAGUCAGCAUGCGUUUGUGGAGCAACCAACAUACUAGCAGAUGAUCUCUUGCCAAAUAAGACACUCAGGGAUACAAUCAAUCGCAUUCUAGAGUCUGGUAAUAGUAGUGCUGAUAAUGCUGGUAGUAUCUAUCAGGUGCAAGAUAUGGAAUCUGCUCGCAUUGCACAGCCAAAGGUUCCUUCCCCUACCUUAUCUGCUGCUUCAAAGGGAGAAAGAAAUAUACAGUCAGUCAACGAGGAGACUACAAAGGCCAAGGAGGUAGA
rnacentral:misc_RNA from 1 species